rnacentral:rRNA from 1 species
GAUGAACGCUAGCUACAGGCUUAACACAUGCAAGUCGAGGGGAAACGACAUUGGAAGCUUGCUUCCUUUGGGCGUCGACCGGCGCACGGGUGAGUAACGCGUAUCCAACCUUCCCGCAAGUAAGGGAUAACCCGUAGAAAUGCGGCCUAAUACCUUAUGUUUUCCUUAGAGGGCAUCUGAUGAGGAACAAAGAUCCGUCGCUUGCGGAUGGGGAUGCGUCUGAUUAGUUAGUCGGCGGGGUAACGGCCCACCGAGACGACGAUCAGUAGGGGUUCUGAGAGGAAGGUCCCCCACAUUGGAACUGAGACACGGUCCAAAACUCCUACGGGAGGCAGCAGUGAGGAAUAUUGGUCAAUGGGCGAGAGCCUGAACCAGCCAAAGUAGCGUGCAGGACGACGGCCCUAUGGGUUGUAAACUGCUUUUAUAAGGGAAUAAAGUGAGUCUCGUGAGACUUUUUGCAUGUACCUUAUGAAUAAGGACCGGCUAAUUCCGUG